UUGAAAGGGAAACGAUUGAAGUCAGUCGUACCAGCGGGAAAUCAACCUUUCGAGUGGGGUUUUGGAGUUUUGAAGAGUGUCAAAACCUUUGAGAUUUCAAAAUUUUCGCUCCUUUGGUGUACUUUCUCGUGGGUAGGUUAACAUCGAUUUCGAUCAUCAUAAAAGGAUUGGAGGAAUGUAGCUUCGAUCUUGUAUUGAAGUGUUAUAGCCUUUGGUAAAUGUGAUGAUUGGGAUCGAGGAUUGCAACGAAUACCCUUUUGGGCUAUCCGCCUGAUCUCUGAUACGUGGCCUUGGCAUCGAAAGCUUGCUUAUGGUUUUGGGUAUUACGGUCAAAAGGUUAGAACGGAUUACAUUCGUUAAGGAUGUUGACGUA
rnacentral:rRNA from 1 species